UUAAUUUGAAGUCAAAAAGACUUAAUUUUAUAGUUGAAAUCUGACUUUGGGAAGGUUGUCAAAUAUGUCAAAGAUUUAAAACACUUG